CCCACAUAACCCUGGAGUACACAAGAAAACAGGAAGGAACAGAGCGGGGCUGCACGGAAGCCCUGCAUAGCCACCUCAUGUCUUGCUGACCCCUGUCUUCUUUUCCAGGGUAUCUCCCAUCCCUGUGGCUGAAGCCCUCAAAACCCAAGCUCCAGCAGGAUCAAACACCUCUCCUGCACUACCUCUGACUGUGCUUGCGUUUUGCCAAAUCCAUUUGAGAAACUGCCAGAAAAGAAGAAGCACACCCAUUGCCACUUCCACAGAAAUGCACAGGUAUUUUUGAACUUCCAUACACCUACUGAUCCUGAAGACAAGACCAGCAUGGCCCCUGAGGACAUGGCAAAUGCUGAAUCCUAUAAAGCAGAGGACUGUGCCAUGCUGCAUAUGAUCAUGGGAAGUGGCACCUCCAGACUGAAGAAAGUGCUGACCAUUGUGAGGGACAUUUACCAAUGGCUCUCAUUCAUCACAGACUAGAUCAGACCCUGCAGGAGAUGAUCCUUGCACAGACACAUGAUGUGGUGGUGAGCCUCCUGUGGUGUGCCCCAUCAUGUGACAGCCCAUCAAGACAUGACAAAUAACUUUAGCCACUCCAUCUUUAACCUCGUAACUCAAACCCAGCACUUUCUAAGAACUGCAGAGAGAAAUCCUUACUCCAGACUCAGGCUGCUGCAAAACCAGCUCCGUGAGGCAUGGAAGAGAUGAGCUUCUCUCUUGGAAAAUGGCUGGUCUUCUCUCUGGUACAAUGUUGGGUUACAAAGCUGGAGGUCCCCACACUACUGAUCCCAAGAACUCUUAGGGCUAUCUGAAUGGAAAUAUUCAGUGGCCUCUGGCCUCUCCCAACUCACAGGACAGCUUUCCUCUUAGAUCACUUUUCUUCACCCCUUUUAAGGAAACUAUUAAAAUGCAAAAUAAAAAGGCACUAGUUAACAGUCUAUUUCCUUGGGUUCCUGCCAGUCAGAGCCCAAUCUACAGCUGGCACUGCAGCUGCACACUGAGCUAUCUGCAUUGACUAUGUAUCUUAACACUCUCACCCGUGUUUUUAUUGAGCUUACCUGCUAAUAUACUAAGAGGAAAACAAAAACAUUUCAAUGCAUUUAACCACUGCUCUUACAUCCAGCAUUAUAACAAGUAACAAACUUAACAGUAUAAAGGCUAACAAGAAUGUCAUAGGAUUAAAAUAUUUAUAGAUAUGAAACCACAAACAAUCCUCAAACUUCAGUUACUGAUCAAGAGACUGAUCCUUUUCUACAUGUUAACAUAUUGAGUCAAGCAUUCAUCACCAUCGAACAGGCCUUAACUGGGACGUAAGUUCACAGAGAGAAUAUUCUAAAUUGGAAGGGACCUACAAUGAUCAUUGAGGCCAACUAUUGAGGCCAAUACAUGGUUCAUACGAGGAUUGAACAUGUACAUGACCUUGGUAUUAUUAGCAAGCUGAUUGAUUGUAUUUGAUAAGGAUAGUAGAACAGAACAGCAUAGCCUUGGAGAAGUAAAAAUAGGAUGUAACUUAAUCAAACAGAAGUCAUGCAAGACACAAGCAGGAUGCCAGCUAAGCUCUGCAAGGCUGACAAAGCAGGAGUUAUAAACAAUAUUGCGUUUAUU